GAAUUUUCACGGGGAAAUGUGAUGUCAGGACAAAUAACUGAGUGCGAAACACAUGGUGGAUUUUGUAUACCUUUCUAUCAAAAUAGUCCAACCUGCGCAGACUAUGGCGCAUUGCCCUACGCAUACUCGUGUCUUUUAGGAGCAACCUGUUGCCGCUAAGACUGAAACUAAGAUGUGGGACAUGCAGGUACACUAAACUUUGUGUUGUGAGUUUGUUUUCAAGUUGAAAGUAGUUACAGAACAAUCGACGAAUGUCAUAUAUAAAUAUAUAUAUACUAUAUA